rnacentral:tRNA from 1 species
GCCGGGGUGGCGGAAUGGUAGACGCAGUGGACUCAAAAUCCACCGGGGGCGACUUCGUGGGAGUUCGAGUCUCCCCCCCGGCACCA